CUGACUAACCCAACACCUUAUUGAGACUUGUUGAUCAGCCUGACUAACCCAACACCUUAUUGAGACUUGCUGAUCAGUCUGACUAACCCAACACCUUAUUGAGACUUGUUGAUCCCAACACCUUAUUGAGACUUGUUGAUCCCAACACCUUAUUGAGACUUUCUGAUCAGUCUGACUAACCCAACACCUUAUUGAGACUUGUUGAUCAGCCUGACUAACCCAACACCUUAUUGAGACUUGCUGAUCAGUCUGACUAACCCAACACCUUAUUGAGACUUGUUGAUCCCAACACCUUAUUGAGACUUGUUGAUCCCAACACCUUAUUGAGACUUGCUGAUCAGCCUGACUAACCCAAUAGCGUAUGGCUCCAGAGGUUCAAUAAUAUAAUAACACCUACUAACCAACAGAUAAAGUGCCAACAAGGAAAAAGUUGUCUCUGCUCAACGCAGAAGGCUACAGUCAAAUUAUCCUAUAUUUGGCCCAAAUGGCACCCUAUUCCCUAUAAAGUGCACUACUUUUGAACAGAGCACUAUGGGACCUGGUCAAAAGUAGUGCACUAUGUAGGGAAUAGGGUGCCAUUUGGGAUUUAACCAGAAGGAUAUAACAAUGUGUAUUACAUUCAUUUAAAUAAAGCAAGCCAGCCAGGUCUCUCCCUAGGCUAGUUACAGGUUACAGACAACAUGUCUCUCCCCAGGCUAGUUACAGGUUACAGACAACAUGUCUCUCCCCAGGCUAGUUACAGGUUACAGACAACAUGUCUCUCCCUAGGCUAGAUACAGGUUACAGACAACAUGUCUCUCCCCAGGCUAGUUACAGUUUACAGACAACAUGUCUCUCCCUAGGCUAGUUACAGGUUACAGACAACAUGUCUCUCCCCAGGCUAGUUACAGGUUACAGACAACAUGUCUCUCCCUAGGCUAGUUACAGGUUACAGACAACAUGUCUCUCCCUAAGCUAGUUACAGGUUACAGACAACAUGUCUCUCCCUAGGCUAGUUACAGGUUACAGACAACAUGUCUCUCCCCAGGCUAGUUACAGGUUACAGACAACAUGUCUCUCCCUAGGCUAGUUACAGGUUACAGACAACAUGUCUCUCCCAGGCUAGUUAUAGGUUACAGACAACAUGUCUCUCCCAGGCUAGUUAUAGGUUACAGACAACAUGUCUCUCACUAGGCUAGUUACAGGUUACAGACAACAUGUCUCUCCCUAGGCUAGUUACAGGUUACAGACAACAUGUCUCUCCCAGGCUAGUUAUAGGUUACAGACAACAUGUCUCUCCCAGGCUAGUUAUAGGUUACAGACAACAUGUCUCUCACUAGGCUAGUUACAGGUUACAGACAACAUGUCUCUCCCUAGGCUAGUUACAGGUUACAGACAACAUGUCUCUCCCCAGGCUAGUUAUAGGUUACAGACAACAUGUCUCUCCCUAGGCUAGUUACAGGUUACAGACAACAUGUCUCUCCCUAGGCUAGUUACAGGUUACAGACAACAUGUCUCUCCCCAGGCUAGUUACAGGUUACAGACAACAUGUCUCUCCCCAGGCUAGUUACAGGUUACAGACAACAUGUCUCUCCCCAGGCUAGUUACAGGUUACAGACAACAUGUCUCUCCCAGGCUAGUUACAGGUUACAGACAACAUGUCUCUCCCCAGGCUAGUUACAGGUUACAGACAACAUGUCUCUCCCUAGGCUAGUUACAGGUUACAGACAACAUGUCUCUCCCUAGGCUAGUUACAGGUUACAGACAACAUGUCUCUCCCCAGGCUAGUUACAGGUUACAGACAACAUGUCUCUCCCCAGGCUAGUUACAGGUUACAGACAACAUGUCUCUCCCCAAGCUAGUUAUAGGUUACAGACAACAUGUCUCUCCCUAGGCUAGUUACAGGUUACAGACAACAUGUCUCUCCCCAGGCUAGUUAUAGGUUACAGACAACAUGUCUCUCCCCAGGCUAGUUAUAGGUUACAGACAUGUCUCUCACUAGGCUAGUUACAGGUUACAGACAACAGACUGCCACACAGGGCUUGGGUCAAGAGAAGUGUGGUGUAGGAUGCCGUUUGAGGUGUGGCACUAUGGAAAGCAGCAUCUGGGAGGUCAAGGGUCAAAGGCCACCCAGGCAGAGGUCAAGGGUGGGUGACCUCACUCUCUUUACCACUACUCAACGUAGAGGGGGGCGGGAUCUGACUGAUGGGACAGGUUUCUCCAGCUGACGUCUGUGAUUGGACAGAUAUCCAUUCACUCACUCCCUGUGGGGAUAACAUUGCACUGUCUGUCAAAUAAAUAUUCAACCAUAGUCCACCCGGUUCUAUUGGAGAUAAAAGAUCAGAACAUUCCGGUUACAUUGGAUAGAACAAAUUAGAAUAUUCUGAUUCUUUCCUCUGAUGGCAAUAAAGGCAAUCUGGGGCAGAGAAAAAACAAAAAGGACUCUUUUAUAGUCUCUUAACAGAGUACACUUUCAAAAGCACAAAAUGCCCAUUUAGAAUAAAAUAUUCAAAAAAAAUCCUAGGUGGUAUUCUGAGUCUGUUUGAGAGAGGAGAGCAGAUCAGAUGGCCUUCUGACUGAACUUCUGACUUCCCAGCAAACCGGAGCGGACAAAUUCUGCAAGAAUCCAGACACCCGUUUAAAGGAUAGUUGAACAAACAGAGUUUGGGAGAAACAGUAAGAGUUGUUGGAAGGGAUUUGUCCUGGAGAAGUCUUUAGUUAAGGGAGGGAGGGAUGGUGGUAGGAGUAACAGCAGUAAGAGUUGUUGGAAGGG
rnacentral:lncRNA from 1 species